UCUGCAACGUGCUAGGCACGAAUUGACGUUGGCUCCAUCGGCAGGGACUUCUGGCACCAACAUUUUGAGAUCAACCAGAAAUCUUUUCAGAAGACGUGGAAAUCGAGUUCAAGGCACAUCCUCCAGAAGGGGACGUUCGACUUGGCAGGUGGGCCUCUUUCUGCUCCCAAGACCAGAUAUCCAGUCUCUGCCAUCAACUUCUGCGCGUCAGGCUCUAACAAAUAAUGGAUUAGGAGUACCAGUGCAGGAGUCAGUGGAUGGACAACUGUCCACCAUUGAGCUGAAUUGGAGUCUGGCAGAAUUGAACCACUUUGUUUGUCAGAGAUUCCCAAUGAUUAGCUUG